GACACCAGAGCUCUCUCCCCGCAAUGUGAGGACCUAGUAAGAAGGCAACCAUCUGCAGCCAUCCACACGCCAGGCAGAGGGUCCUUACCAGAACCCAAUCACAUUUGCACCUGAUCUCAGACUUCCAGCCUCCAGAACUAUCCGUGAUCUUCAAACUUGAACGUGCCUAGGAGUGAAUCGCCUGGGAAUCCUGUUGAAAUGCCUGCUCCGACUCAAUAUCACGGACGUGAGAGAUUCUGAACGAAUUCCCUGGAAGAGGAUGCAGUCACAUCCCCCUCCGCCGGCGCACGGGUUGCACGGGGAGGAAUUGGUGCGGCCAGGGCUGCCCUCAGAUGGAGAAACAAGCAGAGCCUUUGCAGACUCACUUCACUCCCACCCCAUGUUAAUAUCACCUUGGAAAAUGGCUGAGGGGCCCACAGGUCUUUUGGGGUGGUCCUAUUUCAUGGCAGCUAUUCCUUGAGGCCCAAAUGAUGGGCCGAGGCGGGGGAGAGGGGUGGUUUGAGGCCUCUGCCUUCCAUGAUCCGUCUCCAAGCUGGCUGUGGGAUGCGAUGGAAGAUCCCCAUCUGGAAGGAGGCUCCACCCGCAGCCACCUCCUCCUCCUCCAACCUGCCUUGCCUCCCAUGCAAGGAGCCCCAGCAGGGCACAACGCCCUCUUCCCAAGGCCCUGUCAGUCACAAACCUUCCCCUUGAGAAGGAGGACGGUCCUGUUCCAGUGUACCUUAGAGGGUCUUGGGGAAUCAUAGAUUUUCAUGUGCAUUUGGCGCAAUUCUUUCCUAUUAGCAAGGAGGAAACUGAGGCCCAGAGUGGUAGGCAGAUUUGGCCAAGGUCACUCAGCAGGGACUAGCCUAGCCUUUGGGGGCUACUCUGUGGCCAAGGUCUGGCGGAAGGCAAAUCUUAGAAAGCAGUGUUAGUGGGGUAAGAGGUUUGUCUAAAGACAAUGAAAUACCCAGAAAAACCCUCCUGACUCAGAUUGUUCCAGGUUUUGACCUGGAAACGUAACACACCUGAGAACAGGUUCUGACGUGGAGACGCAGACGCAGCCCACACAGGAGGGUCCCAACUUGGGCUGCUUGUUAUAGUCAUGUGAGGGCUCUUUUAAAAUGCUGAUGACUGGCCCACACCUCUGACAACCUGAAUCCCAAUCUCUCAGGCCUCACAGUCCCUGUGAGCUUGUUAGAAAUGCGGAUUUUCAGGCCCCACCCAGUCCAAUGGCAUCAGAAUCUGGGUGGUUCCCACGCAUGGAAAGGUUUGAGCAGCGUGCUUGGGCUACACAUUGGAACCACCUGACACCCAGGCCCCAGAUCAGGCCAAGGAAAUUGUAGUCUCCGAAGGGCGAGGCCUGCUGUGGGUGGUUUUUAACAGAGGCAAGGCCCACGGGGAGGACAGCAGGGCACAAAAUGUAAGCUCAAAGGCCUCAAAGACAUGUUGCUCUGUAUUCCAAUCUUGCAAAGCCCCAGGCAUCUUCAGGAAAAGGAAAUGUGGGUGAGGAAGUGGAGCCCGGAGAGGGGGUCCAGCUCAGCUCAACUUUAUAUGACCUGAGCCAAUCACAGCUGACGCCAGUGACCUAGACCAAAAGGCUGGUGAUUCUAUGUUCACUUUGAAACAGGGCAAGAGCAGUGAGGGGACUCUGAAGUCUCAGCGCAGCACACUGGGUAAGAAAGGGAGGGGAAGGAGAUAGGCAGGAUGGAAUAGCUGGAAUCAGAACUAGCUCCGCUGCAGCUCUAUGGCCUGGGGCAAAUUGUGUAACUGCUAAGCCUCAGUGUGAUCAUCUGUAAAAUGGAGAAAGUAACAACGCAUUCAUGGAGCCAUCGUGACCUGUCAGGAUAGCUGAAUAUAUAAAGCUAAGUUUUGGGGGCACCCCUGGGCCAAAACAGCAGCUGUAAUUAGUAGUAAUUCAAUUUUCCCUCCAUGGUCAUUUUGAGGAAGAUUCUAAGUUAGUCAAAGACAGAUGAAAUGUGAACAAUAAUCCUCUCUUUACAGAGUGAAAAACUGAUGUCGUAGUUUAUAAAUAACUCCCCUGGCUACGGAAGACUAUUAUCUCUGUCUCCUCCAGUCAGGCCUACUUUAAUUCACCACAGUGGUUUCCUACAAAUGUAAAAAGAAGAACAAUGACAAAAAAUAUACAAGAAAACAUGGGGAGGCAUGAAAAUCAACAAGACAUUAACUGAUAGGGAAAAGGGAGCAAGGAACUAGGUUAAAAUUAUGCAGAAGACCCUCUAGAUAAAUACCAGAGUGAAAAGACAGCUAAUUGAAGAAUGAGGGAGUUUUCUUAACCAGUGCUAGCUGACUAAAAAUAUAAUUAGCUUUGAUUCAUGAAGAUUGCUACAAUAUGACUCAUUUACCAAAACAGUUACUAGCAGAAUUACAUUUGUUACUGUGAGAGGACCACGUGGGAGCGAGGGCUGCAGUAAAUACCAAGUAAGGUUUCUACUUUCCCAGUGGCACCUUGAGAAAGAGUUGUGUUUCCUCAUCAGCUGUUUUCUGUGACCCUGCUGCUCUCAGAAGCACCUUUGGCGAUUAUCAGGAACACAGAGACCUUCUAGAGAGAUGGGAGGUGCUCAUGUCACUGCUCCCAACCAGGGCCUUGGGAAGGUCUCAGCUUUCCCGGCCUGGACACAGCACUGUAUGGGUCUCAAACUUCUUUUCUCCAAGUGAAGUCACAGCUCCUCGGCAGCUGUGCCCUUGGCUUUCGUGCCUUUGGUGCUGAUGUCUCUCACCUUAGAGAUUCCACACAAAGCUAGAAAUCAAACCUUCCUUGUGGCUUAUUGGUUGUCUGACUGCGUUAAGUAGGGAAAGCCAGUGUUUUUCCAUUUGGGUAUUUUCUCUUUAACUCCACUGUGGUAGGCUGGGCACUCAUCCCUGCAGCACAAAGCCAUUUAAAGAUUCAAACCUUCAAAGAUCUGUGUGCACAAUUCAGGGAAGGCAAUGGGCAGUGCUAGGCUAGGUCAGCGCACUAGCGCAGGUGCAGAGAUGCUGGGUAGCGGGAAUCUCAAGGAGCAAAGGGACCUUAGAGGAGUUCUGGCCCAACCACUUUAAGGACGGGCAUGGAUCCGGGGAAUGUGUGUGUAAGUGACAAGAAGAGCCAUGUGUUUUAUAAAAACAGAGCGGAUGGCACAGGAAGAAGUAAGAAGAUGUAUUUCUCACAUAGAGAAUGAGCACUGCAGGGAGAAACAUCCAGAAAAAGGCAGCAGCAAACAGUUCUGCAAGUACAAGAGUAAUGAAAAUAAAUACAGCUUACAAACCUAAUGAAGAACAUUUCAGAGCAGGUUGAGACCCUAACUGAUACAAAUGAGGCUCAUUAUCUUCCCUGGGCUCUCCUGUUCAGUGUAGGACAAGAAUCGUGCAAAUAGAAGGAGAUGACCAGGGCCGUAAUGGUAGAAUUAUAGCCCCACACCAGACCAGGGCCUCUUAAUAAGAAGAGCCAUUUUCAUUCCAGACCCAAAUCCACUUGAAGGCCUGAAGACCAUCAAUGUAAAUGAUGCGUAGCUGUCCUCAUUGUAGGGUAGUUAAUAUGUUAAGAGCCACCCACAUCUCUUUCCUCCAAAUAUGCCUAAGUGCAUCAGUAUUUCCCUAAAGCCUAAAUACUAAAGAUGAUUCCAGAGAUGAUUCUCAGGCUGAGACCAACCACAUUCUUUAUUAAGUGCCUGCUGUGUUCUAGGUACCAGCCUAAGUACUUUACAUGCAUUAUUUCAUUAAUCUCAUCCACAGGCCUAGGAGGUAGGUAUUAUCAAUACCCCCUUUUUUUAAAUUGAAGUAUAGUUGAUUUACAAUGUUGUGUUCAUUUCUGGGAUACAGCAAAAUGUGUCAGUUUCUGGUUAUACAGUGUAUAUAUGUAUAUAUAUUCUUUUUCAUUAUGGUUUAUUACAGGAUAUUGAAUAUAGUUCCUUGUGCUAUAUACCAUGGAACUUUAUUGUUUAUUUAUUUUAUAUAUAGUAGUUUCUGUCUGCUAACCCCAAACUCCUAAUUUAUCCCUCCCCCACCCCCUUUCUGCUUUGAUAAUCAUGUUUGUUUGCCAUGUCUGUGAGUCCGUGUCUGUUUCACAAAUAAUUUCCUUUGUGUCAUAUUUUAGAUUGUGCAUAUGUGAUAUCAUGUGAUAUUUGUCUUUCUGACUUACUUCACUUAUUAUGAUAAUCUCUAGUUGCAUCCAUGUUGCUGCAAAUGGUAUUAUUUCAUUCUUUUUAUGGCUGAGUAGUACUCCUGUGUGUGUGUGUGUGUGUGUGUGUGUGUGUGUGUAUGUAUGUGUGUGUGUGUGUAUACCACGUCGUUAUCCAUCUGUCAGUGGACACUUAGGUUGCUUCCAUGCUUUGACUGUUGUAAAUAGUGCUUCUAUGAAUAUUGGGGUACAUGUAUCUUUUCUAAUUAGAGUUUUCUGAGGAUAUAUGCCCAGGAUUGGGAUUGCUGGAUCAUGCGGUAGCUCUAUUUUUAGUUUUUUGAGGAACCUCCAUACUGUUUUCCAUAGUGGCUGUACCAAUUUACAUUCCCACCAACAGUGCAGGAGGGUUUGCUUUCCUCCACAUCCUCUCCAGCAUUUGCUAUUUGUAGAUUUUUAAAUGAUGGCUAUUCUGACCAGUGUGAAGGGGUAGCUCAUUGUAGUUUUGAUUUGCAUUUCUCUAUAAUUAGUGAUGUUGAGCAUCUUUUCAUGUGCUAUUGGCCGUCUGUAUUUCUUCUUUGGAGAAAUGUCUAUUUAGGUCUUCUGCUUAUUUUUUGAUUGGGAUGUUUUUUGUUAUUGAGUUGUAUGAGCUGUUUGUAUAUUUUGAAAAUUAAGCCCUUGUUGGUUGUGUCAUUUGUAAAUAUUUUCUCCCAGUCCAUAGGUUGUCUUUUUGUUUUGUUUAUGGUUUCCUUUGCUGUGCAAAAUUUUGUAAGUUUAAUUAGGUCCCAUUCAUUUAUUUUUGCUUUUAUUUCUAUUUCCUUGGGAGACUGACCUAAGAAAACACGGGUAUAAUUUAUGUCAGAGAAUGUUUUGCCUAUGUCCCCUUCUAGGAGCUUUAUGGUGUCAUGUCUUAUAUUUGUCUUUAAGCCAUUUUGAGUAUCAGUACCCUCAUUUUAAAGAAACAGAUAACAAGCUCAGAGAAGUCAAGUAAUCUGCCUAAGGUCAAACAGUAAGUGAGAAGUCAGAGAUUAAAACAGAAAACCAGCUGUGAUAGGUUAUUUUUAGGGUCAACCCCGUGAGGAGGUGACAAAGAUGAAACAGGCAGCGUGUCAGAGCAGACAGGAAGGAGUGGAUCAUCCUGUGUAGAGACAGGAUCAGUGCAAAGGCCCAGAGGCAGAAAAGAGCUUGGGAGGUGUAAGGACCUUCAGGUAUCUGCUGCUGAAUGACAACCUGCCCUAAAACUGUGGCUUGAGACAAUACCACUCAUUCAUUGGCUCAUGGUUUUGCAACUUGGAGAGGAUGCCUAGGGACAUUUCAUUACUGCUCCAUGUGCUGCCAGUUGUGGAAACGCAACUUGAGCUGGAGAGUCAAUUCCAAGGUAGCUUCCUCACGCGGAGAGAAAGCUGGUGCUGGCUGUCAGCGGGGAGCUCAGCCAGGGUCUUUAUUCUCCUUCACGCAGCCUCUCCACAGGGCUGCUUGGGCUUCCUCCAGCAUAAUGGUCGAAGCCCCAGAGGAAAGACAUGGACGCCGACAGCCCUUUCAAAGUCAAAACCCAGAGCUGGCAUAGUGUUACUUCCACCUUGUUCUAUAGGUCUACUCCGUCACAAGCCCAGCCCCGAUUUAGUGGGAGGAAUGACAAAGAGUGAAAAAAAGCCAGUGUGAUGGGAGUACAAUUAACUAGAGAUGGGGGAGCAAGGAAGGGAAGGGUCCUGGAACAAGGUGAUGAGAAAGGUUUUAUAACACUUUAUUGGCCAUGUGGAAAUGUCUGGAUUUCACUCUGUGUGUAUAAUAAGAAAUCCUUGCUUCUUUUUCUGACCCUUGCUCUUACCUCAACUUUAGUAGAAAACUAAGUUAGACACCCAAGGGAUUUCAAGUCCACAGAGCAAAUCUGCAUGUGCAUACAAUGCUUUAAUUCAGAUAUUUAAUGAAUAUGAGAAAUUAGUACACUGUCAUCCUCAGAUAUAAACUUCCCCCAAAUCCUAUCUGAGUGACCCAUGUAACACACCAGGUUUCCAGGAUACAGGAAUAAUGCCAGUGUAUCUUACCAGGUACCAUACCAGGCAGUGCCACACCACCUUCACCUGCAGAAACAACCAGCGCUUGAUUUCUUUUCUACUCACUACCUUUAAAUACGUUAUACUCCUGAAAACUGAAAUUCAACAGCCCUUCAGUCUGUCUGUAGUAAACAUCCCUUGGAAGUCAGGGAGCUUGGCUGUGCCCACAGAGCUGAAGCACCAGCUCCAACAUGACUCCGCAGUGUUGCAGUGUCUUCAAGGUUAGAGAACUGGGUCCGUUGGUGCCAGUUAGAGUCCUUAGAGAAUGGAGAAUGGAGGAAUAGCUGCCCUUUGUUGAUAGGGCCCUGAACUUCUCUGUAUAUUGAUGGGUGUAAAUGUUGUAACACGGUGGAGGUUGGAAUGACAUUGCUAAGCACAUAUUAAAUACUUAUCUUUUGAGGCACUGAGGGUACCAAAGUCAGUUAGACACACUCUAAGUUCUUGAGAUGCUAAGUAUGGUGAGAAGAAUUACCCAUAAAUAGCUUUUUUUUGGUACAAUGUAGCAUGUAUAGUGAUGGAGGCAUUCAAAGGAUGCAAUGAGAUCACAGAAGUGGGGAACCUAGCUCAGCUUUCUGUGGCAACAAAACAGGAGAAACACCUUCCUGGAGGAGGUGAUUUGGGGCCUGAAUUGAGAAGGAGGAGGAGGAAAUAAGUAAGGUGUUUCAGCAGAGAGAACAUUAGGAAAGAGGCUUCCUAGUGUGAGGCAUGAGGCAGGUGUGUGUUUUGAGGUGGCAGGUGCGUGACAAGGCAAUGUUACUGGAAUAGAACUUUAAUGCAGAUUGUGGUCGGGGAUGAGAGGGCAGAUCACAGAGGGCUGUGUACACGAAAUUAAGGAACUUAGCAUUUAUUCUGUAACUAUCAACGAUUUUUAAAGAGGAUAAUGACUUGAUCAGAUUUAUGUUUUAGAUUAAUUGCUGUGGUAGAAAUAUAAACAAAGACAGCACUGAGACAAUAUCGAAGGCAGGGAAGCCAGUAGCAAGUACUGACCCAAUUUAAGGGAAAUGGUGACAGACUAUGGCAGUGGCAGUGGGAAUGGAAAAGGUGACACAGAUCUGAGAAACACUUAUGAGGCUGAAUUAUCACGAUUUAGCAAUGGAUUUGAGGUAAGAAGAGGAGAAGCUUGGGAGACUCCUGGACUUGGGAAAAUGAACAAAGAAUGAGAACAACGCACAGGGAAGGUGAUGAAGCUUGACCAAGGUUGACUUUGGGGUAUCUGGUGGCUUUUCAAAUUGGAGAUGACCAGCGUUUGUUUGAAUAUAUGAAUUCAAGUUUGAAAGUAGACAUUAAAGCUAAAAAAAUAGGUAUGUGUGUUCUUUUCACACUGAAGGCAAACAAUAUACAUGGUUGAGAUUCUCUAGAUUCUGAAGAAUAGUGAACAUAGAAUAGAAUCCUAGUACUCAUCAAUUUUUAAGGGAGGCCAAGAGGAAAAAUAGUCAUAGAAGAAGCAUCAGAACCUGCACAGUCUGGUGUAACUAGACCCGACUCUCCUUUCUUCCCACCACUGGCUCCAGAGGACCCAACAAAGGACCUGACAAGUACACAUGUGGACACCCAAGCCUGCACUCCCAGGCUCUGUCCACGUCCCUCUGCAAACACCCAUUCCUUCCUUGGCCACCUCCUGGGCCUACAGAUGCACACGCAGUGGGUUCAUCCAGAUUUGGGAGAAACGAUUUGGGGAAGAGGCCAUGCAGGCCAUGGAAGCAGAUUCGUGGCAAUCUGUGUGAGCAAUUCUGGGGUCCUGCAGACUUAUAGCAUGUGUGAUGAGUACCAGGAAAGUAAGGUGCAAGCUCUGGAUGGAUGUGUCCCCUUAGCUCCGCAUACCCCUUGCCGUUUAGGGAGGAGCGAAGGGGGCAGAGGCCAGAAUGGUGCUCUUUAAAAGCCCACGUGCAGGGCAGGGCCACUCUUGCCCAGGUCUAUGGGUAGAACAAACAGUCUGAUAGCCUCUGUUUUCUUGAUGAAACACGAAAAAGCUAAGGUUAUUUGCUGAGACAGGUUGGGUGGCGUUCCACCUAAAGGAAUCAAUGCCACCUUGAUUGUUUGGUUCUUUUAACUCUUGGGAAACAUAGUAUCUAAGCAGUUUGCCAUGAGAAUUUGUUACUUAAUUUGAAGUAUCACUAGAACCAUGCACCAGGCAAUCACAUAUGGAUUGGAAUCCCUAAGGUGCUACAAUGUACAGGCAUUCUCUUGGUAGAUUUUUUUUUUCUUCUCCUGCCCAUCUCAAUCAGCCCACAAAGUCUGCUUUGUGACAAAAGCAUGGACUAGAAAUGGGCGGGGUGGGGGGGUGGGCGGCCGGGCAGGUGCAUCACACACCCUGCUUCAGAGCCAGAGGGCUAUGAACCUGGUUUGGGCUCAGGAAUCCUCAGCCGUGGUGAAAGCAGGUCACCUUCAGAAUGAUCUGUUCCUCCCAAAGACUACUGGGCUUUACCGCGGGUGGAUCUUCCCUCCUGCCUUAAAGGCAAGUCCUUUAAAGAUGACAUCCAUGGCCCACAGAAUCAGAGCCAACCGAAGGUGGGAUGUCCAGAGAGCAUUUUUUUAAAUCUUAAAAUCAUGUGAACUUUCUUUCAAAGAAAAGGAACUGUUUUUAAAAGGAAGAAGAGAACAUGAAUUAAAUAACAGAGCAAUGACUAAACACCAGUUACAUAAUUUUAAAAAUA